rnacentral:rRNA from 1 species
AUUGAACGCUGGCGGCAGGCCUAACACAUGCAAGUCGAGCGGUAGAGAGGUGCUUGCAUCUCUUGAGAGCGGCGGACGGGUGAGUAAUGCCUAGGAAUCUGCCUAGUGGUGGGGGAUAAACGUUCGGAAACGGACGCUAAUACCGCAUACGUCCUACGGGAGAAAGCGGGGGAUCUUCGGACCUCGCGCCAUUAGAUGAGCCUAGGUCGGAUUAGCUAGUUGGUGAGGUAAUGGCUCACCAAGGCGACGAUCCGUAACUGGUCUGAGAGGAUGAUCAGUCACACUGGAACUGAGACACGGUCCAGACUCCUACGGGAGGCAGCAGUGGGGAAUAUUGGACAAUGGGCGAAAGCCUGAUCCAGCCAUGCCGCGUGUGUGAAGAAGGUCUUCGGAUUGUAAAGCACUUUAAGUUGGGAGGAAGGGUAGGUAACCUAAU